ensembl:lincRNA
GCCCAAACUCAAGUGUCAGUAGGAGGCAAGCACAGAACCUAGAUGAGAGAAGUCACCUGGAGGGGACCAUGGCAUCAGCAGAGCGCACACAUAUAAAGGGACAGAGGCAAAUCCACUUCUGAUGAGUGUUGCCUUGAUGCUCAGUGCUGUCAGUUUCUCCAAUUUGUAUUAAGAGAAACUGGAUUUUCAUGUGAAACCCUUUUAAAUAUUUGCAAGCGAUUAAACAAACAAAAGCACCAAGUGGUUGUGUGUUAAAAUUGCCAGUCUAGUUAAUAUGCCUUUUUUGUUUUGUUUUCUUUUUAAAGGAAGCUGAGUCUCAGCAAUGAGAAAUGACAGUUACCCAGAAAGUUGUUGGAGAAAAUUGUUCUAGAUAAUUGUCUGGACGGAUAAGAUGGUCAGAAACAAAACUUUUGGAAAUCUAAACUCACACACAGAGGAAGAAACGUCAGGAUAAUAAAACAAACAAGCAAUAAGUGUAGGUCAAGGUAACUGAGUUCUAGUGGCAGAAGCAAAGGUUCCAUAUUCAUAGCUCUAGAAGGUAAUUCAGAGCUUCUAUGCAGUGAGACUUAAAAAUUAACUUCCUUCUCCAGACAAAUUCAUGAAUUGGAGGGAAACAUUAUUACAUGAGGAAAAAAAGAAGAAAACAAAAAGAAAGAAGCCAGGUACUGGUGCCGCAGCCUGCAUUUCCAACCAGUGGUUCCAUAUACUUGCAGAUGGAUGGCUGCUGCCAGUUUCCUUGGGGGUAGAUGCUAAAAAUAAAAUAAAAACAAAAGACUUCUUUGCUUUCUGUUUCCCUCAUCCCUUUGUCCUCUCCCUUUGGGGACAAAAAUGCUCUCCUUCUGCCUCCCACAGGGUGCAGUGGGGCAUUGGAGCUGCCUUCAGUAUCCUCCAAUAAGCAGAGCAGUGGGCCUGGCUUAAUAUCAUGCCCCAUCUCUCCCAGCCUCUUAGAGACCUGGGGAGAAAUGGCCCAGCUGGCAGCAGCUUGAAAGCUGCUGUCUGCCUCUCAGCGGCAAGUCUUCUCACAAAUUGGCCAGAGGCUGCCAUCUGAGUGGAGAGGGAGUAGGGCCAACAACUUCAGUUCCUAUUAGGCUCUCCCCUGCAUGAGUAAUGUCAAGAAAGCAAGAAGCAUUUUUGUCUUAGUAGCUCUAAGUUUUAUUGGAGACAUGUGCCUUGGAUUUGCAGGUCAAGAAACCUUGAGUUGAACUCUCUAAUCUACUAUAUGCAUUCACUUCCUCAUGCAGCCCUUGUGUAUUGAGCAUUGAACACCUCCAGGUAUGGUGUUAGUUAUAGGGGGUACAAGACAUGGAAAAUCUGACCUUGGCUCUCAAGGAGCUAACAGACUAUAGGGGAACACAAGUCUAUUGCAGACAGCAUAGUAACAUGAGUGCAGUGUAUAAAAAGAGAAUGGGAUGGCAUUUAGGAAAGUCUCUGAGUGAUAUCAAUAAAGGGAAGCAAGAGGUUACCUGGCCAUGUGUGUGGGGAACACCAGGGCAGCAUAUUUCCUGCAGAGAAAACUACCCCUUCCACUUUCAUUUUUAAACUCAGUCUGCUAUGACUGCCACAGUUGAGCCUUGUCCACAGUCAAUAUUUGGAUAAAAAAGAACAUGCAUCACAUGGCCCUGUUCAGCAAUGUUGCCCUGACUCUCCAUACCUGCCUGCGUCUCUGGCCAGCACAUUGCCCUGUUCUUCUCUGUGUUUCUGUUAUUAUCAGGCAGGCUGUCUCCACAUGAGAGCUCCCAGAAACUCUAGCCUACUCUCAUAUUCUCUAGCUAGCAAUCUCAGCAAUACAAAAGCCAGUUUUUCCCGAAGUCCCGGCAAAAAUCCCAAACCCUGAUUCUAAUCAGGGUUGUAUCCUUAGUCCUGAAAAAGAUCCUUGAGGCAAAGGAAUAUGCUCAUCGGUCAAGUCUGGGUCAGUCUCACCUCCAUACAGAUGCUAAGAUGGUUCUUUGCUGCUGUUAACAAAAUUUGGAGGAAUAGAUGUGGACAGCCAAAAAUAAAAACUGCACACUAUUUGUCAUAAGCUCUUAGCUUCUGUUUUCUAUCCAUUGGACUAGAUAAAUGCUCUUUAGGGGAGUCUAGACAAGGGCCAGAGAGCAGGGAUUGGAAAGAGGAUGAAAAGAAGGAAACAGGGAAUAAUCAUGUUGGUAAAGCACAAUGAAAGAAGGCAGCAACAAUUACAUCUUUUAAGGUAAUUCAACAGACAUUGAUAUGUCUCAGAUGUGUUCAAAACUUUAUUUCUAAUUGGACCUACAAGGCAAGACUUGUGAUUUCAUGGAAUUUACAUUCUAAAAGGAAGAUGGAUAUAGCUGUAGUUCUAGAUGUUGAUACAAAUAUGCAUGUAGAUAUAGAUAGAUGGAUAAGAUAGAUAUGCAAGUAGAUGUGGGAGGAGGGAAAAGGAAGACAAAUCAAGAAGAGGCCCCAGGUGUGACCUUAGGGAAUUUGCC